rnacentral:rRNA from 1 species
UCAAGUGAAAUACAGGUCUAUGGCGGAUGCCUAUGGAGCCGUAAGACGAAGAAGGCCGUGAUAAGCUGCGAAAAGCCGCGGGAAGGAGCACAUAUCCGUAGAUCCGCGGACAGCCGAAUGGGGUAACCCGCAGGGAGCGAUUCCUGCAUUCGGCGCCUGAAUAAAAUAGGGCGCGGAAGUCAUACUGCGUGAAGUGAACCAUCUAAGUAACGCGGGAACAGAAAUCAACAGAGAUUCCCCGAGUAGCGGCGAGCGAAAAGGGAGGAGCCCAAACCGCAUAAGGCGGGGUUGUAGGACUGCAUAAAGAGAAAGAAAACUGCUUUGCAGGAGAACCGCAUGGGAAGGCGGGACAGAGAGUGUGAGAUCCACGUAUCCGAAACGGAGCAGACUCUGGCAGUAUCCUGAGUACGGCGGGGCACGAGGAACCCUGCCGGAAUCCGGGUCGACCACGAUCCAAGGCUAAAUACUAGACGGCUACCGAUAGCGAACAAGUACCGUGAGGGAAAGGCGAAAAGAACCCCGGUGAGGGGAGUGAAAGAGAACCUGAAACCAUAGACUGACAAGAUGUCACAGCCCGCAAGGGUAGUGGCGUGUCUUUUGUAGAAUAAACCUGCGAGUUACGGUGUGCAGCGAGGCUAAGGGAUGGCAGUCCCGGAGCCGUAGGGAAACCGAGUCUGAAAAGGGCGGAAAGUUGCAUGCAGUAGACCCGAAGCCAAGGUGAUCUUAUCAUGGGCAGGCUGAAGGCAGGGUGAAACCUGUUGGAGGGCCGAACAGUAAUCUGUUAAAAAAGGUAGUGAUGACCUGUGAUAAGGAGUGAAAGGCUAAACAAACCUGGAAAUAGCUGGCUCUCCCCGAAAUGCCUUUAGGGACAGCCUCAUACAAAGCUUGCGGAGGUAAAGCACUGGAUGGCAGCGGGGGUGUCAAAGUCUACCAAUGCCAAUCAAACUCUGAAUGCCGUAAGCCAGCGUAUGGGAGUGAGACUGUGUGCGCCAAGGUUCACAGUCGAGAGGGAAACAGCCCGGACCGCCGGCCAAGGUCCCGAAAUCAUGCUGAGUGUUAAAUGAAGUGCGGAUGCGCAGACAGCCAGGAGGUUGGCUCAGAAGCAGCCAUUCCUUGAAAGAGUGCGUAACAGCUCACUGGUCGAGCAUCCGUGCGCAGACAAUGUAACGGGGCUAAGCAUGAUACCGAAGCCGCGGGCCAGCACCAUAAGGUGCUGACGGUAGGGGAGCAUACCAAUAACCGGAGAAGGGCCACCUGCGAGGGGACCUGGAGGACUUGGUAGAGAGAAUGCAGGCAUAAGUAACGAAAAGACGGGUGAGAUUCCCGUCCGCCGAAAACCUAAGGUUUCCAGGGUAAAGGCAAUCUGCCCUGGGUAAGUCGGCCCCUAAGACGAGGCGGAAACGCGUAGCCGAUGGGAAUCCGGUUCAUAAUCCGGAACCUGAACCAGACUGAUGCCAUGACGCAUGAGGCGAAAUCCGGCAGGGCGACGGUAGUCCCUGUCCAAGCGGCAAGGCGGAGACGGAGGGGUCAAAAGACCUCCGGAGCCGAGCCGUUACGGCGAGAAGAGAGAAAGUCGAAUCGAAGCGGACGUAGUCAUGGUGCCGGGAAACAGUGGCUGGGAUAUGUGGUUCAGACCGUACCGUAAACGGACACACGUAGGUGGGAUGAGUAAUCUAAGGCGCACGAGCGAACUCGCGUUAAGGAACUCGGCAAAAUGCACACGUAACUUCGGAAGAAGUGUGGCUCCAGUUUGAAAGAAUGAGGAGCGGCAGAAAGCAGGCCCAGGCGACUGUUUAUCAAAAACACAGCCAUCUGCGAACCAGCAAUGGGACGUAUAGGUGGUGACACCUGCCCGGUGCCGGAAGGUUAAGGGGAGGGGUUAGCGGCAACGCGAAGCUCUGAACCGAAGCCCCGGUAAACGGCGGCCGUAACUAUAACGGUCCUAAGGUAGCGAAAUUCCUUGUCGGGUAAGUUCCGACCCGCACGAAUGGUGUAACGAUUCUGGGCACUGUCUCAACGCGAGACUCGGUGAAAUUUAUAUUCCGGUAAAGAAGCCGGAUACCCAUAAUUAGACGGAAAGACCCCGUGAACCUUCACCGUAACUUAAUAUUGGGAUCCUGUUCAUUAUGUGUAGGAUAGCUGGGAGGCUGUGAGGCGUGACCGUCAGGCUGCGCGGAGCCGCCGGUGAAAUACCAGCCUUGAUGAACAGGAUUUCUAACCCGGGCCUUGAAGCAGGUACGGGGACAAUGUUAGGCAGGCGGUUUGACUGGGGCGGUCGCCUCCCAAAGAGUAACGGAGGUGCGCGAAGGUCUCCUCACCCUGGUUGGAAAUCAGGGCGCGAGUGUAAAGGCACAAGGAGGCUUGACUGAGAGGCAGACAUGCCGAUCAGGUGCGAAAGCAGGUCUUAGUGAUCUGAUGGUUCCGAGUGGAAGGGCCAUCACUUAACGGACAAAAGGUACUCCGGGGAUAACAGGCUGAUUUUCCCCAAGAGUUCACAUCGACGGGAAAGUUUGGCACCUCGAUGUCGGCUCAUCGCAUCCUGGGGCUGGAGCAGGUCCCAAGG